UAUUCUUAUCAACCUAUUUAAAUUAGUCUACUGUUAAAUUGUGUGGGCUAAUCUCAUGAGUGUCCAUUUAUCUACUAGCCAAACAAAACAGAACGUAUAUCUGAAAAUUAACACAUAGAAACAUACAUAUACAACCUUUUUAUCAAAUGUUAAGGUUUUUACCUGUAAGCCUCAUGUAGGCAUGAAGCCUGCCAUUUUAAAAAAUACAUUAAGUGAGUUUGGCUAUACUGAAAACACAUAUAUUCAGUUUUCUUUUGAGGCCCCAAAGGGUCAGAAGUUCAUAAGGACAAAAAUAAAAGGAAAAAUGAAAUUGAUACUUGCUCAAAAAAUGUUUAAUUAAGCAGCUGUAGGUACCUUAAUCAGUUAUUAAAACAGAUUAAACAGACAAUUGAGCAAACAAGAAACCCAUAGAACACAAAAAACAAUUACAGCUACUUUUAAAUCAGAGCGCACGCUUAGAUUGGCCAAAUCUGGAGGUAACAAGGGGCUGUUAAAAUUUAACUUAGCAUAUUUUAGAUAAGAGUCUUCUUCCUGGAAGGAAGACCUCUUAUCUUUCUAUUUUCAUCUCAACUUUUUAUCUUUUACUGUCAUGUUUACCUUUGUAUCUUUAAGCUUGAAUUAGGUGUUUGAAUUAGUUCUUAACUUGACUGGGCUAUUUUAAAAAAUCUGAUGCUACUAUUACUGGAUUCUGUAGACUCUUCCCAGGUCCUUGGUGUCCUGAAACAACUGCACGAGACAUCUGAAAUAGGUAGCAAGGUUUUACACUUGUUAAAGGUAGGAAAAGAAAUAUGCUCUGCAGGGUGAGAAUGUGCCAUUGAGAGUUCACAGUGGCCAUGAGGUUAAUGGUGGAGGACUUUGUAUCCCUUAUUCUUCAGACUAACAUCAGAUCAAGGCCAUCCCAUCAAAAACUGGCUUGAUUUGUUUCAGGAGAGUUGAAGAUAGCACUUUCUGAUUGGUCUCAGGUGCAGCCCUCGAGAACUAUGUGCACAUGUGUCCUGGAUCUCCAUGAUUGGCAGGUCAAGCCCACUUGCUCAGCCAAUUGGCCAUGCCCUAAUCUCCUGCCUCACUUUCACUGUUGUCAGGUCUCUCUGUCUACUCGUUAUAACUAAACUAAACUGAACUAUUACAAUAGGAUGGCCAGCUCCUUCAGGAAAGGAGCCCUGUCUCAUUCUCUUGGCUGUAUACCAUUCUUUAUCUGUAUGGGGUGGAGUGGGGGUUGCCACUGUUGAGCUAGGCAAGGGUUCAUGAGCUGCGCUGGGUGUGGCACACCGUAAACAGUAAGCGUGAACUAUGGUAGAGGAUUGUUUUAGAAAUUUACCAAAAUGUUCAACUACUGCUCGACCCCCCUCCCCCACUUUAGAUGGCAGGCUUGGGGGCCACUAUUUGCUAGAAAUGGCCAGCUCAAAAGCAAAGGCAAAUGCUCAGGCCAAGCUACAAUGGUCUAGAACUACAGGUAUGAAAUAGAAACUAUUUCAAAGAAGAGUGAAAAUGCAGAACAAGUCUUUCAGCCUCUGUCACCACUACUGCUCUGAGCUGGAGACAAUGAGGGAGGGUUUGGAGAAGUUCAAGCUCUAGAUGUGAUUUGUGUGAGAAGGGGCCUCGACCCUGGGGCCAGAUGGCUUCAGGGCCCUUUUGGGUUCCCUCUUGUCUUCCUCCCCCUGCCCUCUGACCCCUGGAAACCAACCUAUGGAUACAUCCAUGGGCCCCUUAGUCCUGUGCUGAUGGGGUUCAGACCAUGAGGAGCAGGACCAGGACAGGGAAGACAGGAGGAUGAUGAGGUUGACUUAUCCACAUCCUGCUCCCUUCCUGCUGGGUCAUCUCAGACUCGGAUGUGUUCUGGGCGAGGUCACGUGGCUCUGGUCAAGGUGGCCUUUCCUCACAAGUGACCACUGCAAUCCCAGUCAGGCCACCCACUCCCUAGCUAACCCAGGGACACUCCAUCAGACAUGGGGCCCACACCCCGCCCAUGCCUUUGUAAGUGGUCCUUUAUUCAAGUCUGCUCCAAUUACAAAAUUUGAACAUACCAUCUGCUCCCUCCCCCUGCCUCUUCACCCCUGGCCAAGAAGAAACACAUUAAUUAAUAAUCCCCCCAACCCAAAACUCAGAGAACCCAAGAGUAGAGAGAACUUGCUCCCUGCUUACUCUCAGAAGUUCUGCAUGGGUUACUGGAGCGGAGAGAAACAACACAUGGGGUGGAAUGGCCCGUGUAGACAAACGGGCUGGAGACAGGCCCUAAAUUUUCCCUCAAAGGUAUAUAUAUUUUCUCUCAAGCUUCCCACCAGUGCCCAUGCCCUGUCCUGCCUCUGUUUCUCAUCCACCUAACAAAUCUCUGAUGAGGGCCAACUGUGCUGACACCAGGGCUGCCCACACAGUGCCUGGCUUCAAGUUGCUCAGGGUCCAGGGGAAAGAUGAGUCCUUAGCCAGCCCAGGAGAGGCUACGAAGGGAGGGAGCAGUGCGUGGGGCAGGCUGCCUGUAAGAGGAGGCCUGGUAAAGAGCCCAGCGUGGCCCUGAUCUUGCAGAAGCAGUUGCAAUGCUCUUGGUGAUGGGAGCGCUAUGUUUCUGCUGUGUCCCUUCCGUUUGGGAGCAAUUUCAGUACCACCGCUGUGGGCUGCUAGGAUGACAUUUAUAUGUCGUUUAGAUUUUUUAGGCACAAAACCUGAAUAAAGCUGCCACAAUCACUCACAGAAUUCCCAGUGCUUGUGAACAGCAGCCAGAUCAGAGUGCUAGCAGCUCAGGGGCAGGGUUUCUUUUUAUCUGCUGGCGUGGCGCCACCGUGUGGCCAUUUGCAAUUGACAGCCACCUUUGAAAUCAUGAGCCUUGAUGAACUUUUAAAUUGGGGACAGUUGCAUUAUUUUGAAGUUGUAGACAUAGCAUUACGGUUUGUUAGUAUCCUAUGCCACAUUAUUUCAUAGUCCUAUAAUUUAAAUGUGAGUCAAAGGUGACCAUGCCAUGCAGUAAGGGUCUCACACUCUUUGGGAGCAUGCUGAGUGUCAGAGCUUAACAGGACACCAAGGAGGAGGGUCUGGGGAGGCUCCCCAAAUGAAGUGUCCUGUGAUCUGGGUUUCAAGGAACUUUCCAAAGGACCACACGGAAGUGGACAGCAGAGUAAGGGGAAGAUGGUCCAGACACAGAGAGCAAGGCAUGACAUAAACAACGGGUCACCAAAGGACAUCAAAGAUGGAUGAAAGAAAGGUCAGGCGUAGUGGUGCCUAGGCCCUGAGAGGGGAGCUCAAGUAGAGAUGUGGCUGGAGAAGAGGGUCUGGCCCAGGCCAAGGGAGGCCACACCACGUGUGUCAUGGGAAGCAGCUUUCUCACACAGGGCUGGAGGUAACUGAAGGAAAACGAGGCUCUGUGUGGAAGUAGCAGUGUGGGUGCUGGAGCAGAAAAGAAAGGAGACCACAAGAAACAGGAAGUAUCUCAUGCAUCCAUCCAUUCUCCAAAUAUUUCCUGAAUGCCCACUAUGUGCCAGGCAUUGUUCUAGGCACUAGAGGCACCCAAGACAACCACUGACUGCUGCCCAAAUGCAGUCUACAUCCUAUGGCACAGAGGAGGCAACAAAGAGAUAAAAAUAUAUAUAGUAUUUCGGAUGGUAUUGAGAGUGGUGGGAAAAAUAAAGUAGGGGAGGAGGGCAGGGAGUGUAGAUGGGGCUGCCUUUUUGGUUUGUUUGUAUGUUUUCUUUUUGUUUUUUUGAAACAGGGUCUCACUAUAUAGAUCCGGCUGGCUUUGAACUCACUAUGUAGCCCAGGCCAGUCUUGAACUUGCAUUGAUCCUCCUACCUCAGCUUCCAGAGUGCUGAGAUUACAGGUGUGCACCAGCUCUCCUGGCUAAGACUCUGCCAUUUUUGGUAAGGUGAUCAGAGAACGGCUCAGUGAGAAGCCUGCACAGAGGAAGUGCCUGAAAAUGGCUGUGGGACUGAAUGAAGCACCAGCUACGGAAAGGUAACAAUCUCAGUCAUCUUGAAGAAAACCAUGAUUGCUUUCUUCUCUGCCACACCAGAGAGCACAUUCCGUCUGCUCUCUUUUUUAGCUCCAUCUCCCUUCCUUUCUGGAGACAGAAAGGGAUUCUGAUCAAAGAUGCCAUUACUCAGCCCUAGUUAAUACAAAAGCAUGGUUGGGAUUCCAUCAGGAUCAGAGAUUAAUGUAACAAAUGGUUCACCAAACUGUUUUGAGUUUCCCUGAAUCUUUUAGAUGUGAUUGUCCAGAAUCCCUAUCUCCAUGUGACUGACCUGAGGGCUUUAAGAAGUGUAUUCAGAGAUCCUAAGGCAGGAAGAUUGACAGUUUGAGGCUGCAGAAUGAGUCCCUGUUUCACAGGGAAACAGACCUUUUGCAAAUAGGAAAGGGUAGGGGAAGGAAGGAGAGGGCAAGGAGAUUUUAAAAAAGAGCAGCUGGUCACAGAUAUGCUGAAGUUGUGCCAGGGGCUCUGGCAACCUGUGUCCUUCCAGCUGCAGGCAGGGCCACUGGGCCAGAGCAAGACAGACGUAGUGGCCAGGCUGCUGGCGGCCUCCCCUAGGGCCACUGUCACUGUGCAAAACAGCCACACCAGGAGCAGCCCUGCAGCUGUGCAGCUGGGGCUGCUGGUGGCCAGGGCUGAGGACAGAAGCCGAGUCUACUACAGGCUGCCCCGGGGCCAGCGCCAAAACUUGCCGGCAGACGUUGGCAGGAACUGAUUGCCUGGCAGUGCUGGGCCAAGGCUUCCGGGGGAAGCAGGAUGAAUAAACCUUCCUCCUUGUGCUGUG